rnacentral:snRNA from 1 species
UUGCUUCAGUAGCAAAUAUGCUAGAAUUGGAAUGAUAUAGAAUGGUCCCUGCACAAGGAUGAUUCACAAAUUUGUAAAGCAUUUCAUAUUUUA